rnacentral:rRNA from 1 species
UACGAAGGGGGCUAGCGUUGCUCGGAAUCACUGGGCGUAAAGCGCACGUAGGCGGAUUGCUAAGUCAGGGGUGAAAUCCUGGAACUCAACUCCAGAACUGCCUUUGAUACUGGCGAUCUUGAGUCCGGGAGAGGUGAGUGGAACUGCGAGUGUAGAGGUGAAAUUCGUAGAUAUUCGCAAGAACACCAGUGGCGAAGGCGGCUCACUGGCCCGGUACUGACGCUGAGGUGCGAAAGCGUGGGGAGCAAACAGG